AGAAGAUGUGAGUACCCACAGUGAGUAAAAGAACAGAGUGGCACAAUGACAUAGAUCGAGUGCAUUUGAUAAAGUUAAUGUGAAAUGACACUAGAGUUAGUGUGAUGUAAAAGAACUAAAGUGAUGUAAAGCAUAAAGAAGGUGACAACGUGUAAAGUUAAAGUAAAAGAAAUGCAAAGAACAAUGAUUGCUAGAGUUAGCAAGAGUAAUGAAAAUGUAAAGAAUGUGAUUGCAUGAUUUUGCAACAUAAAGUGAUGUAAAGAA
rnacentral:lncRNA from 1 species